rnacentral:tRNA from 3 species
GGGCCCGUGGUCUAGUGGUUAUGACGUCACCUUUACAAGGUGAAGAUCGCCAGUUCGACUCUGGCCGGGCCCA